rnacentral:lncRNA from 1 species
GGGGGGGGGGGGGGGAUGAUUUUGAUCGGGAAGUUUAGUUUAUUUAUUUCUUAUACUAACCCUAGGAUCUAUUUCUGGGUUGGGUUGGACUGGCUUGGCUGGGGCGAGUAGAUACCUUUUGGUUGGUGGUGUACAGAGGCAGCUUCCUCGCCAUUUUGGGGUAGAGAGAAUGUAGUGGCACUACGGCACGGCAAUGCCCAUGGAAAUGUAUAUCAGAUUCAUUUGGACAUCAUAUGGCGUUGGCCAUCGCAGGUUUAAUGGCAUUUUCAACUUCUCUCUUGACCUGGAAUCCUGGACAAUGUUUGAAUGCUGCCCGGAUGGAUUUUGUCCUUGAUUUACCUCGUUGGGAGACGGAAGUGGAACGGUGACUGGUUCUGGCACUGGUUUUCAUGCGCAAUUCAGGAAGAGCCCGUGGACUCUGGCCUGUGCUGUUACUUUUUUUUUUCGUUUUUAUUUGAACUCUGCCACAGAUCGCAAUACCACAUAAAUAUCCAAGUCCCGCUCAAAACCAUCCAGGUGUAGACGAGGUUUUGCUCUUUUUUUAUUAAAAAAAAAGUGUAGACGAGGUAGCCUUUUUUUUAUAAAAAAAGUGUAGACUAGGUUAGCCCUUUUAAAUCUCACUUACGAGUCAUGCAUGAGCUACACUUUUCGAACCAGCGGAGGGCCUCAUCAGUCGCCAUUUAGUGCACAAGAGAGGAUAUUUCUAAAUCAUCAGUAGCCAUUUAGUUGCCCUAAACAAAAAUCAGAUUGGCCUGAUCUACGGAAUUGCCUCAUCAUAUUUACAAAACCAUGAUCCAUUCUACUACACUUCAGUGGAAAAAUCUUCGCCGACACCGUGCUGAUCCCAUCUCCUCGUACUCUGAUUUUGUGACGCACAUUGAUUCGAAAUCAGGGCUGGAGGCCAAAAUGGAUCCACCUCUCCAGACACCAAGAAUUGGGCUAGACAAAGUAAAAGUGUGCGAUAAUGGCAUUAGUAUACAUAAAUGGGCAACGGAGACAAAAAAAAAAAUCUUUUUUUUCUUCUUCUUAGAUCAGAGAGAGAGACAGCCGGGCAUACUUCUCUUGACGAGUUAUCUUCACCUGGUAGUCAUCAGGGACAAGAGGCCGAAGUUCCCUCUCCCUGUAAUACAUCACAAAAAGUCACCUUGAAAUACAAAAAAGAACAAGUUUAUCUGACAGCCCCUCCACAGCUCACUGUAUAGUGUGUGUAAUGUUAAAGAAACUACUUACAAUCUUUCAGCAAAUCUGGGGAACAAUGUGCUUCCACCUGUCAAGAUGAUGCUGGAAACAACCCAAACAGAUGUGAACUCAUAUGAAUAGCAUAUUCAAAGAUCAAGAGGGGUGCAGAUAUACAUCCAAAUAAAUUAUACCUCUCGAAAAGCACAGGUUGAAGAUAUGGAUGGCAUGCUUGUACAGCACGAACUAUACACUCAGCAAGCCCAGCUUGAUUUAUACCUAUAAAUCAAGCAGCAGAGAUUAGUCUGGCAACAAUGAGCAGCUUGCAGACAUGCUAACCUAGCAGAGUCUAUUUGUUAUGAACCUCUUAGAUUCUAUGCCUUGCCAAUAUCAUGGGGAAAAAAUAAUAGAAGUGAACUUCACCAAGCAUUUAAGAAACUAGUGUGCAGAAGAAAAUUGAAAAAAAAUAUAUAAAUCUCUUGUGUUCUUUUCCUGGCCAACGUUAACGAAAAAACAAUGAUAGAAGUGAAAUUCAGUAAGCAGAUGCAAACUAAAGAGGACAUGAAUUAGCAGGUCAAUGGAACUGCUGGUCCUUCGUCACUGGCAAGGAUUGUUAUCCAAGUAGCUAUUGAGCUUAGAUAUAUUACUGGUGUUGCAAUUAUCUAUAUUUACAGGGAAAAUCUUCCCCAUCAGAAAAUCCUUGUGUUUUGCACUGACUUUUAGGGAAAAAACUGGAAAGAAGAAAGGUAUAAAACUGAUAUGAUGCCUAACAAAAUUCGGAAGGACAAAAUGACGGAACACAUUUAAAAUCUGAAGAACGAAAGUAUACAGGAUGUUUAACAUUGACACUAACCAAGGUCAAUUGGAUGAAAAAGCAUCUCCGGGACAAGGAACCUCUCAUUUGUCAAUACAAAUUCCUACAAAGAUAAAAUCUUCAUUAAUGAUACCAAAAGAAUGUAAGGAAUAUAACUGAGACCAAGGAUGUUACAUUUUGACUUAAUUCUGGCUUUUUACGAUCCUCAAACUUAUUUGUCUCCAAGCCAUGGUCCUUUCUAUCUGAUUCUUCAUUGAGAGGCAGAGAGCAGUAUCUAAGUGCAUCAUCCAUGUCCUUGACAAACCCUUUCUUGUAUGUUAUACCAUCAGGGAGAAUGUAAGAACAUCUAAAAGGGUUGUCCUUGAAAGAUAACCUGCCAAGCAAUUGCAAAGCAAGCUGCUAAGAUAACUGAGUACUAAUAAAAAUCCCUUAGUUUCCUAAACUGAUUAGUAGAGUUCCAAUUUCCAGGCAAUGAUUUUACACUGUUUAACAUGUUUUCAACAUAAUAAAGCACUUGAAGGGAACAUGUGUUACAAACAAAUCUAAAAUCCAAUAUGCUAUAUACUUCUGAAAGCAUAUCCUCAGUAACAUUUUUCUAGCAUGGUUGGACAGCAUCUCUUAGCAUUCUAACUCAAAUGUGCUUUAUGAACACAUUCAAACAACAAUAUGGAGAAAACAUAACCCAAGUAUAGGAUGAUUCCAAAAAUAUAAUCCAGUGUGCUUAAUUAUUUAUUUGUUUGUUUCACAGAGAGAAAUUUUGCAUUCUUUAAAUUCAAAUUUAAAGUCUUUCAUGCUUUGCAUGCCUGUUGUGAUUCUUCAGCUGAAGAUGCUAGCUCACUCUCUCCCACACACAAACAUGCACACACAGCACCUUUUGUUCUGGAAGCUAACAUAUUCAGUUCCAGAAGUACUAGGCUAUCAGUAGAUGCAGUUAAAUUGGUUACACAGGUCACUCUAAAAUUUUCAAACGCUACAUGCUCUUAGAUGCCUUUGAACAUAAAGGUCACUGUUCAACCCUCAAAUUUUAUCGGAAAUUCUAUUGCACUUUAACCCUGAACAGACAAAAAGAAGAAUUGAAAAUAUGAUAUGUACAUGACAGAUAAUGAAGGCAGCAGACCUGGCAAGGCGCAGAUCACCAGGGACAUCAAGGGAGACAAAGCAUAGCUUUUCCUUUGCAUCAUCAAUGAGAAGAGUUUCAUCCAUGACAUUAAGCGAACGGUAUGAGACAAGCUCCUUGAGAUAGUUUGUAAGGGCCUUGCCACCAAGGUCCAUACGCCGCACACCAUAGUUUAGAGUAAAAUUCUGAAGCACAGGGGAUGCAUGUGUGAAAGAGAAGCCACAGUCAACAACAAGGCUGCACUGGGCACGAAAGAGCGUUGGUUGGCGGCUAGCUUCAUAAAGGUGGACAAGGGAAGGAGCAUCUGCAACACACAGAGACUUGAACCCAAAUUCCUCGAACACCAGCUCGUCAGUUGCAUGCUGCAGAGCGGGAGGGUUGAACAUGGGUUCCACCAGUAACAAGGAUGAGUUGUUAGGAUCCACCUUCAGCAAGUUGCGUACAACCCGCUCCCAGACCUCCCUCUGAACCUCAGUAUUGAUAAGAUAGCCACGGUCAAUGGGGCGCUUCAGUGUCAUGCCAGUCACGUCGACAUCGUCCGCCUGCAGCUGGUCAGCCACAAGCCAUUUCUUGGUGUUGCCACCAGGGGGUUUGGCCAUACAGUUGGGCACCACAGCAAUCGGCUCCUGAUCCCCGCCAAAGCCAGCCUUGAGAAGGCCACCCCCAUUAUCUAUCACCACCACACCUGAUCCACCAGUCAUUGUAUAUCCCUCUCUUCUCCUAGUCCAGCCUCUUCUGAGGGAGAGGAACCCCAAGAUGUCUGUUCAAAUUUAUGAGGUGUCCUGUACACAAAUGAAGAAGAUGCAAAUAUACAUGAUGGAAAUGUUAAAUUGCACAAAACCAAAGAAUGGUAGACUGCAAUACACAGUUCAGCAACAGACACGAUAGAGGCACAAAUACAAGUAGGGUGAAGGUUGGUCAGUCUGGAUUAGAUUGAACAAGUAACGUAGUACGUGCAACAUUGGAUCUAGAAGCUAGAUUAGACAGCUAUACCAAGUGAAACAUGUAGCGAUAGGUAGGGGCGGACCGAGCACAGGGCAUGGGCGUACAUUUUUGCAUACAAAUAGAUUAGACUAGGUUUUGGUGUGCUCCGUUUCGCACAGAAGGAAGGGAAGAGAAGCGGCGGGCAUACCUCGUGGGUGCUCGUCGCCGGCAAAGGGCCCCGCGAAGACGUGGCGAGUGGCGCCGCCGCUGGCCCAGUCGUCGCCGCCUGGAAUGGAAGACCAAGAGAGGAGAGCAGCAGAAGAGAGAAGGGGACGGGGGAAAGAAGGGUGAACCCGCUGGACUAGUUGGGCUAGUUGGGCCAUAUCUGUUGGGCUAGUUGGGCCAACGUAUCGGGAGGGAGUAUCUCACGCUGUAUCGGCAGCGUAUCGUGAAUUAUUUUUUAUUUUAUUUUUAAACCGUAUUUUUCUGAUACGUGCAUCGCGGCGUGAUUACACAUAUUAAAAAACUACAGGAAAUACAAAGUAAUUCAAGGAAAGCAGUGAUUGGCAUAUAUGCAUAUGCCGUUAGAAAUAUAUUAGCCAGCUGAGGUAGAACUGCAUACACAAUUUUCUCCUAUUUUCUGUUCGAUAUUUGUUCGAGAAAAUAAAUGGCAAUGCCGUGUUACAACAAUCCUGGGCUAAACAGGUCAAGACUCGUUGCCAGGCUGGGCAUCGGAAUCAGGCUGCUUCUGGUGGCCGCUGCCAUCGCCGUCGUUCUGCUCAUUCAUAUCAGGAAUCGAAUCGCCGGUUGCCCCCAGCUUUUCCUGCAAAUAUCAUACAAGCAUUGAGGCCUAAAUCUAUUGCAGAAAAUAACCUGUCUGAAAGAAUCACAAUCAGAGCAAUAUGCAGAAUAAGAAUAACUCGAGGCAUUGCAACAUGCAAAUUGUUAUUUUCUGUUACAGGUGUAACUGCAUAAUUGAGCUACCAUGACUAAGCAUACGAGAUGUUGAUAAUACAAAGAUAGCAAAUGAACGAUCAGGAACAAUCUACCUUGAGGGAAGCAUUCUGUGAAAGUAGCUGUUCGUACUCCUUUCUAAUCCGUUCAAGCUCUGCCCUAAGCGAGGAGUUUUCCGACCUUAAAGAUUCAGCACGUUGCCCAAGCUCCUCGCACUCAGCCUGGAAUAUGAUCACGAAAGCAUUUAACAAAAUUCUCUUAGAAGAUAAUAUUAAUGUAGAAGGAUGUCAGCAUGCACUUUGCACAAUACCUGCUUGCGCAGCCGGGACCUGCGUGCUGAUUCUCGAUUAGACUGCUUUCGUUUCUGCUUCUUGAGUUCCCUUUCAUCCUGAAUGUUGCCAUGGUACAAUCACAGUUUGCAGUCAUUAACUUUCGCUAUAAAUAAUAUUCUACACACAAAAGCGCUAACCAAGUAAAGCAGCACAGAAGCAUGGUAUCCUUAUUAGUAUAUUAUGUUUACCACACACAAAGAAAAAAUAAGAUUGAGCAUUUCAAAAGAUGAUCCCCAUAACUCAUCCACCAACCACAAAUUUAAAAAUCAGUGUGAAGACCCUAUAGCUUGCUGCUAGCUAUUCUCUUGUUGUUUACUAAGUUUAAAGGACGGUGUUCAGAGGAACCCAGGAAAUUUUUAGCUGAACAUGGAAAAUGGAAACAACAGGGCAUCAAAUAGUUUCUCUGGAAUUGUUACUACAAAAUGGUUAUCUAGAAUAGCACUAUCAACACAGUGAAUAUAAAAAAAACAGUAUUUGGUUCUACAAAGCAAGAAAUACUGUACCAACUAAACAAGACAUAUCCUCAAAGAUCAAGAUUUAAGUAUAAUCAUUAUACUUCAUAAAGAUAAGCAAAUACAUGUCGAUGGACUGUACCCAUUGAUCUCCUCGGGCUGAACCAGCAGUUGCUUUGCCCUGCGUUGCAGGGAUAGCUGCAGAACCGGGAGCAGCCCAGUAGUCCAUUCCAAUAUUCAAGUUAGCUGUGGAGCCAGGAACUCCAACCAUCGCACCCGGUUGUAUUGGAAUCAUCGACAUGCUUUGAUUUAACAUUCCCUGUGAUGCUGAAUAAGAUAUGCCAUUCUGUGAACUGCCUGCAUAUUGACAGAAUACACCCAUCAUCUUAUGAAAAUAGAUAUGCAAUUCUAUUAGUCUUUAUCAUGAAAAAGAAACAAGUCCUCAGAUGCCUACCGUCUUCCUUUCCAUCAUUGUCCUUUGAGUGUGAAUCCUAUUACAGCAAAAUUACUCAGACGUCUGAAAGAAGUGUUAUGAUAAGAAAGAAUAAGAACCACAAAUCAAUCUCACAUUUUGGGAAUUGGCAUCACUUCCUUCACUUUCACUCUCACUUCCACUCUCACUGCAGAUAAAAAAGUUGGGUGAUUAGGUUGUGUGUUAACUAAAGAAAUUUGUUGACUUAUACAUGACUAACAAAUAAAAACCUGUGGGAGGUAAUCCCAUUGGCAGAUGGAGCAGAUGUUCUGCCAGGCUCACUUUUCCCUGAAAUUAUUACCAGAAGCCUAAUUUUAAUUUCCAUGCUCCAAUUGACCUUGAUAGUUGAUACUGAAGUGUUGACCUUGGACAAGACUCACCAUUCAUUUCUGGAGCACUUGGCGCAGCUCCCUAGAAGAUAUAUUUCAGGAUUACAUGAAACAAUGAUGAGCAAAAAGGGGACAGACAGUUGGUUACUUACAGGAGUUUCAGCAUGUCCAUUUGUUGGCAUAGGAUAAUGACUAAAUGGAUGCAUACCCUGCAUUAGUUAUUCAUUAGCACAAAAUGCAUCAGCAAAACAGGAUAAAAUGGUGCGUGUACAAAGCGGAUUUGUUAGGCAUAAAAGUGCAUACAGGUGUUGUAGAGGGAUGGGCAUAUACUGUUCCAGGUGGAUACAUCACAUAAGGUGAUUGUGGUGUCCCGUAAGGUGGCACCAUGGGCUGCAAUUAUGGAAAAUUGACUUUGAUUCACAAACAAAAAUCAAAUGUCUUGCACUAUAAACAUAUUAAUACAGAUUGACAACAACAGUAGAGAUUGACGGAGAAGAGAGGGAGUGGGGAUGGGGGUAGCACAAAGUUACAGAUGUAGAGGUCACCUGAGCUCCCCACAUGUAUGGAUGAGCCUGUGGAUUUGCAGCGACAGUAGGGGGGAAGAACCCAUGUGGUGGCAUUGCUGAGUAGGCCUACCAAUAUUUUUGACAAGCAGGAGGUAAAGGAAAGGAAAAUUAUUUGAUAAAAAUAAAAGGUACUGAAAAGGAAAAUAUUAGUCUUUCUUUAUUAGUAUAAGGGAACACUUUGUAUGGAAUAACCUGAAAGCUGGGCCAUUCAGGGUAAACUGAAGCUGUUGCACCAGACGUAGUGGCUGGAGGUUGAUCCUGAGAACAGACAGGUAAGAAACACACAAGGAAGGGUAAGCAAGCAUAUUAUGUAUUCACAGUAGAAACAUGGGGGUUGUGUUUUGACUUAGAUAGAUAUUUCCUUUUGCCAGUGGAAGGAUCUAGCCUAUGUAAAUAAAACAGGAUAUGGCAGAACAUACUGCAGUUAGUGCAGUCCGUGGCAUUAUUAAAAUGCUACUUAGAAAAAUCUAUACAAUUCCACACUGUAACUUUGAUACCAAGAAUAUAUUAGCAUAGAAGGCAUUGACUUAAAAUAGUUCUUCAGCUACAUAAUCUGAAAAAACUAGAAUGUGUACUUCUAUGCAUUAGUCCACAAAAGCACCAAUUCAUAUGACUUGUUUGGCAUGUUUCCCUAAUUUGGGUGCAGCACAAUCACACAUAUUCGAUAUAAUCAUCCGAGCCAGUAAGUACCAUAAGAUUAUUGCACUAGCAAAAAAAAAAAACCCUUUAGGAAACUAGAGAAAAAAUUAAACACUGAAAAUGCCAUUUCAAAAGGUCAAAGUGUUUAUUACUUGUUCUGAUGCCUUUGGAGCCUUGGAGGGUGUGCUAGGUUCAUUGCUACCCAUGACCAAGAAUGCUUCUGGCCAAUCAGCUUUCCCAAUCACUUAACAGCAACCGGAAUACCAACAACUCAUGAACUGAAUAUAUGGAAGAAUUUCCUGUUGAAACCAAAAGAAGCAAGCAUUGUCAAGCAAGAUGCAAAAAGAUCUAUUAAAAAAUAUAAAUGGCACGACGGAAGACAUAGAGGAAAGCGAAAGGUCUCAAAAUGUUGCAAGUACAAAUUUCCCGUUCGUGUCCAAUUGGACGGUAAGAAGAUACACAAAUGGAGUCGAAGAAGUUCGCACUAGAUGUAUAAAUUUCGAGCAUUCCGCACGCAUUUUACUCAUCAGAAACCAAAUCGAACAUGAAACACAAACGAACUUUUGUCGAGCCCAUGUUCCCUGGUCAAUGAAGCUGGAAACGAAAUCACUUGUACGCUGUUUUCUUACCCACUUAAUACCACGAUUAUAAAAACAAAAUCCGAUAAAUAGCAGAAACCCGCACCAACAAAUUCACAAUGGCUAAGCUAUUAUCGUAGCAUAAGCACGUAGAUAGAAUGCAAGCGAAGCGUCAAACGCAGCCGGUCGUAUCACUCCGCUCACUUUAUUUCAAAAAAUAAAAACACUCCUCUCACCAGUCCCAGGCCCGUCGACGGGGAGAAGCUCGCCGGAGCGGACAGGGCAGAAGCCGCAAUCGAUGACCGCCACCCCCCCCCCCCCCCCCCGCGCGCGUCUCGCAGCCACCCGCGGCUCUCGUAGCAGAGGUCACCCGCAAAUGCAGCGGCGGCGGGCUCCGGCGGGGCGAUGGGUUUGGAAUUGGAAGGCGGGGAGGAGGGAGGAGGAGCCCGACGAGGCCGCGACGAUGAGAGGAGGAGGAAGAAGCGAUGGCGUGGCGCCGUGGACCCGGUUCUCGGUGGACCGUAUGGGCCGCCUCCAACCGUGCGUGCGUGGGGCCCACGAAGGGCGAUGAUGAUUGGGGGCAUGGGCCUCCGUGGAUAUAUCGUGAGCCAGAAGCCGCGCCGAUUGGUAGGUGGAUGGAUGGGAUAGGGCCUGGCUGGCCCACCUGGGGCGACGCAGCAAGAAACCGGCAGCCAUCUUCGCCGGCUGGCCAUAUCUUCUAGAACUUUUUCUCUAUUUUUUUACUCUCGAAACAUACUACAAUUCUACCCCUAAAAGCAAAAUGAGCCUCGUUAUGGUUCAUUCAAAUAUCUCAGAUGAUAUCCUUUCCAUCAAAUAAUUAAUAAAAUCAUCUAUAAAUUAUUGUAAGGUAUGUCAUCGUAUCCUGUAUUAGAAAAUUACAAACAGCAGCUGACUGGGAACGGGAGAAAAAAAAAUGUAUACAACUGCAACUGUACGUGCACGCAUGCACCAAUAGUUUAAGAUUUUUUUUUAGAAAAAGGAAAUGUUUAGGAAAGUUUUGCUGCAGUCCCAACUCAAAAGCUGAUGAAAAAAGAAAAGAUGUACGCAUAUAAAGGGAAUAAAUCAAAAGCAAAGUCUAUUAUUAUUUCUCCAUCCAUUUUUGAUGAAAAUAUCCAAGCGACAAUCUCCAACGCUUUGCUUGCUGAACAGAUAGCUUUCCUAAAAACAGCAUGUAUAAAAGAGAUAAAUCGUUUUUUUCUCAAAAACCAAAUCGUUACACGUACAUCAAAUAGCCCACAUAAGAGCUGCGACCCCACGAAAAUCGGUAUUCUUCCUUCCUUUCUUAUGCGUACACCAAUUGUUUAAGAUGACGUGUGGACUUUUUUAUUGGCUUAGUGUUUGUUUUUUAAAUGAUAAAUAAUAGUAUACGAUUGGCGACCAUCAGCUUGUCAGAGUAGCUUUCACAUACACCGUGAUUGCAAGAUUAAAAGCUUGCUCGCAGAAGGGGAAACAAGAAAUGGUAAUAAUGUGCUUUGGCUGGGGUUAUGUUGAGAUGGUAAAAAAUGCCCAAGAUUCGAAGGAUGAAUGGGGAAACGAAGAUACACAUUCACACACUUCAUCAGUCUUUGUCAGUCGCUGCAUACUCCGUACAUGAGAUGGCAGGAUCCAAUGGCUCCACUGGCAAGCACACUACUCAUUCUACAUUUCCAGCAGGAGUUUGUUUACUUCUGUCAUCGUUCGGUGCAAUAAUGUACAAGUAAUAGUGGUACAAGGGAUCUAGUGAUCACCAUGAGAUGAGCCAUCCCAAACACACUGAACGAGGAAUCAUGGGUGCAUUAGUUCCUGGGCGGCGCGAACAGCAGAGGUCAGGAUUACAUAUCCACUCACACCCACCGCAGUUGCCCUUGGUGUUCCAAGCUAUGGCGGAUGUCGCCGUCGAUGGCGACAAUCUGCUUUUUCAGGGCUAGACUGGUUGGUUUCGUGUUGUAUUUCACUUGGAACCUUCCGACAGGGCCUGCGUCAUUGUUGAUCGAACUUUCCGGGAUAACCUCGUCCAAGAACUCAUCAGCUACGUCCCCGUCUUCAUCAAUCCUCAGCCUCCUUGUAUACCACCGAAAGCCCUGGUUGAAUAAGCACAGGACACAGAGCAUGUUAUAAUGGCUGCUUCCUCAAAGUUCAAACGAAAAGGAAUGCAGGCAGUAAAAUAUAAGGCAACUGACAACACUAGGGAUUCAGCCUGCAUACUGAAAACACAAAUAUCCAUGGAAAAAGGUAAGAUCGUUUUAGAUAGAUGCAAUCUAUGCACACAAUUAAACUAGAAACAAAGGCACACCAUUCGAUACAGUACUACGAUAGGGGGAAAAAAAGACUACUAUGAUGGCACUUGCUUAGAAAAGAGUAGGCAUGACACAAUUGUUGUUAGGUGAACAGGUAUUUCGGAUGCUCUUCGACAUACAUAAAAAUGUGCUACAGCCACGCCUUUAACUUAAGAUAUCCCCUUCUCUUGAAAGCACAUCAGUACUACCAAAAAUGUUCACUCAAUUUGUAAUAUAUACAGAGAGGAACUAAUAAUGACUAAAGUCUGAUGUGGAAUAGCAACUUUGAUAGUUUUAUGUCCUACAAGGCUACAACAGAAACCACAAGGUCUACUGAAUGGCAAAUGCAUGUGUUGUAAGUAAAUAUGGCAAUUUGCUAGCUUUAUGUCCUACAAGAAUAGAACCGUGCUUUUCAAUUGCAAAAGGUUGACAAUUGAGAAAUACUGAUUGAUGUAACAUUAUUUUUUCAAAACAUAUUAAGGAAAUCCAUUGUGAAGUUUAUACAAGGGGAUAGCUAUAAUUUAAAAAAUGCCACUAAGAACUGUUUAUGGAACAACUGGUAGAAGACACAAUGUGUCAUAAUGCCAAACAAAAAGAUCUGGUUCGACCAAACACCUCUCAUUUUUGCAACCAAAGCUAGAAUGUCCGGAACAAUGGAAUUCACAACUGUAAGCGUUAAAGCGUUAGUCAUAAUGUCAAAGCCCAGACAAAACUAACCAUCUCAAAUCAUAGUUUUGAAAAUACACUACAAGUUAAUAAAAAUAGAUUUUUGCCGAUAAAUCAUUGAUAACAACACAUGUAUGACAAAACCCGUUCCAUGAAAGUAAUGUAGAUAACCAUAACUGACCUAACUAAAUCAAAAGAAACAAUUCAGAGAAAGAAGAACCAAGACAUACUUAUUAACUGAUUAUACCGAACUGAUGACUAAAUGAAACCAUUACAGCAUAACUGCACCUCAACUCUAGACACACCUAGUAGCAAAGGUAAGUAACAUCAAAUAACAAAAACAAAGCAGCUAAACUCAUAGUAUAUUUAUACUUUAACCAGACAUGGCCAUUGCUAGGUAGUAUCAGUUUAGAGAUAGCUGGAGUAUGACCGAGGGGCAAUCAGAUGAAACAAGGGAAAUUACUGAGAGUACAUAGUGUCAAUAUAUACUUUGUCAAUCAAAUGAAUUUCUAGGACAAAGACAUAUCCCUUAGGUGGCCCUCAUAUGUUCUGAACUACUGGUAUCUAACAUAUUUGUAGUUUAAGCAAGCAAUGGCCUACAUUCCCUCUCAUCCAAAACACACAAAGCAGUAUGUGUUACCUUACAGUGACAGAGGCAUGGCCUCAAACUGCUGCAUCAACUUUGAAUGCACAGGAGAACAUUGAUUGAAGAUUGUAAGAUCUAAGGAAGGUGAUCUACAUUGUUCAUUGCUUGCAUUAGAUUGUUCCUACUCAAAUUUGUCUGGACUAUCUCUCUUAUUUCAGUCCACAAAUGCUAUGUACAAAGUUGCAUUAGAUUGUUCCACCUCCAAGGCACUGACUAUUAAAACAAAGUGUAGUCUUCCUUUGGCAUACAAGAGACUGUUGUAAAAACACAUCAAUGUGCUAAACUCAGUGUUUUAAAGGUGAUAAGGCGACCUUGGAAAUAUGUGCACGCCUUAUCGCGUAGGCGAUAAGGCGGACCGGUUCCCCAAGGUGAGCUGGGUCCACCUGGUCGCCUAGGCGACAUCUUUGAAACACUGGCUAUACUAACUGUCUAGGAAAUAAAAUGGUUCUCACAUAACUAGCAAAGUAACAAGAAAGAAACAUUCUUUGAUUUUGGCUCCUCAUCUAAUAAUUUAGAUCCAGAACCCAAAUUAACAAAAUGCAAGAUCAUCCAAGAAAAAAAAGCAUCACGAAGCUAAUAGUGCUACCUGCACCUGUCAAGUUCUACAUUUGCACUGAAUUGGACAGAGGAGAGUAGCAAGCAACAGUCAAGAACCUAACUUUCAUAAAUCAUAGCCAAUCAAUCAAUGGCACGAAACUAGUAAACUACAGACUACUUGGCAUAACCCAAGACUAGGCUAGGCAUUCAGUUUAUCACAGCACCAUCUUGAAGCCCAGAAAUCAACAAUUUCGCGACUGCUCCAACUCCCAUCACAAUUCAGGGAGCCAUCCCAAUUCCCAGCAAGGCCAAACCUUUGAGCAAUCAGACACUAACAGAAGCAUCUUAAAAAAAAAAAGCUCUUUCCAUGAACCAGAUCCCAUUGAUUCCGGAGCACAACUACAACUGACGCCAUCAUCGCACGGGAAAGCAAUCUCGCGGGCUUACCUGCACGCCGCCGUCCCCCUGGGGGCAGGGCACCAGCACGGGCCCGGGCCCCUGCCGCUCGACAGGGACGGGAACCUGGACGCUGAACCCCCGCCUCGCGCCGUGGGCCGCAGCCGCCGCCGCAGCCGCUGCCCUGUCCUGCGGGAAUUCCGCGGCGGCGGCGGAGGAGGAUGAGGAGUCGGGGUGGUCGGCGUCGUCCCGGGAGAUCCCGAGUAAGCCGGCGAUCCGGCGUAAGAAGCCCAUCGUCGGCGAGGCCGCGGUCUCCGGGAGGCAGGGGGCGCGGUUGAUCCGACGGUGGUGGGAGUGGGAAUGUCAAUGGCCCGCCGACGCGACGAGAUAGGGGUGUGUGGUUUCGUCAUGUAGUUUUGGGUUUUACUGCGUAGUGGGAAACUGUAAAUAUUUUUUUCUUUUUAUACUGCAUCGUUUCUUCUUCCUUUACUUUUUUUCAAAAAAAAAUGUGUUUGUUUGGUUUUUUUACAUAAAAGAUUGGAAAGGAAUUAUGAUAUGAGAGGAUAUUCCAGUGUUUGGGAGGGGAAAGGAUUGAGACUUGAGAGACUUGAGAUUGAGACCAUGAUGUCAUAGAUGGAUGAGCAAAGUACCAGGCUUUCAAAAAGAGGUGGUAAUUAUUGCUUAAGGGAAUGAGCACACAUGCAAGUGCAUUGAGAAUAUGAUGUGCUAGAUUAUUGUGGCUCUUGAUGGGUGAUUAGUGGUUUAGUGGGCUAGGGUAAGUAGUGGUUUGGUUUAAGGCUAGAACUUUUUUUUGUGCUUUUUCACGAGUGCGAGCUGUUAGAUUGAAAAUCAAUGGCCCUUAGAAAAACAUAAUAAAUUGGAUUAAUAUUGUUCAUGGUUUUAGUAGUUCCAUGUAAGUGAAGCGAGUUUGGAGUUUUUCGUGCUCUUGGUUUUCCAAUCAAGUUUUGAAGCUCUUUUUUUAAUAUGUUGUUGUGGUCAAAUUGUGUUUGAAGACAGCUCGGUCUAUCUAUAUCACCAUACGAGAAAUAUUGCGAGAUUUCUAUAUCAUUAAAGUGUAUGAGAAAUCCACUUCUUUCUUUCAAAUUGCACUGGCAUUGUCGUGGAACAAGAUGGAUCUUUUUUCGAAAUAUAGUACAAAUGCAGAUAUAAUAUGUGAGGGAUCAAGGACCAUUUUCUCCCUAAGGAUUAAUUAAAAAACAAAGCAAGGAAUCAAGAACAAAUUAAAAUAAGCACACAAGGAAAAACUCGAAUUUAUUCCCCAAAUUAUGCCACAAAGGACUUUCACCAAGCAAGUUGGUGGAAAGUGGUGACAAGCACCAUAUGCAUCUAUACCAUGCAACAGUUGGAGUCACUUAUUCAUCUCUCUCUACAUGUAUCCGCGCACAUAUCUAGAUGUGAGUGGUCAACCACGAACACUGCAUGCUUCAACACCGAGACACAGAUUCGAUCGAUACAUGAUCUGAUCACACGCUAUGACGUAAUAAUAUCAUGGUAAUUGAGGUAGUGGCGAUCUCAACGAUAUAGAGGUGACCGAUAUGAAGAACAAUCUACCCAUGGAAGAACUGCUAGUUGGUGAUGGGGAUGAGGCGGCCGUAUGCCUUGCGUUCGUUGUCCUUGGGCACGGUGAUGGUGAGCACGCCGUUCUCGAGCGUGGCGUGGACGCUGUCGGUGUUGGCGUUGGGCGGCAGCCUGACGGUGCGCACGAAGCGCUCGGAGCUCCGCUCGACGCGGUGCCACCGGUCGCCCUUGUCCUCGGCGGCGCGCUGCCGCUGCCCGCUGAUCCGGAGCACCUUCUCCUCCUCCACCUCCACCUUCACCUCGUCGCGCCGCACCCCGGGGAGGUCCGCCAUGAACACGUGCGCCGCCGGUGUCUCCUUCCAGUCCAUGCUCGCCGUCGCGAACGGCGCCAGCCCCAGCGACGGCGCCGCCAACGCCGUCAGCGAGAUGGCGUCCACGAACGGUUCCAGGACGAUGUCGAUGCUCGCCGGCUCCACCUCCGCGCCGCCACCGCCGCCGGCGGUGCGCGCGCCGGCGCCGCCCUUCUGCUGGCCCUGCUGCUUGCGCCCCAGCAUGCUGGUGAUCAUCGACAUGCCAGCUGCUUCGCUGAUGAGGUGUUUCAGUCCUCACUCACUCGGUGUGUGUGCUCACUUACUUCUUGAUGCUGAGGUGUAGCUGCUAUACCUUGUCUAUUUAUAGGCGAGCAAAGGAAUGCUUUUAUAUGCAUAUAUACAUGAUCUUCUAGGAGCUUGUAUGCCUCAUGUGUGAUGACGAUGAGAGAUUCUCGCGGAAGCCUCUCUUCCGAUCCCUUGUUGAAAGCACAAUGAGGUUUUUGAGUGAGUUGGUUGUUCCAAAUCUCCAAGGUUUACUUGCUAAAAAAAACAAUUUGUAAUAGACUCAGAGAGAUCCCAAGGUCCUAUUUGUUUGGGAUUAUAAUCCACCUAGAUUAUAUAAGUUGGAUUAUAGGUCACGAGUAUUAUGGUAAAAUAUCACUUUAGGACCACAUAUAAUCUGAAAUAAGCUACCCAAUACUAACUUAUUUCAGAUUAUUUGUGAUCCCAUGAUGAUUUUUUACACCCCUACCCUGGAUCAUAAUUCAGCUUAUAUAAUUUAGAAGGGAAACGAAAAGGGACUGCUGUCCAUCGAAUCCCUACCGUUAGAACGGGUACCGGACAGCCAAAAGUGUGUUGAAAUAAACUGUCACUUAGUGGGGAUAUUCAACAGAGGAAAUUUGCGCACCUUCGAUUGGUGUAGCCGUACGUUAGGAUGGUUUGUAUCCAUUUAUCUAGAAAACGUAUGGUCUUAUUGCACACCUGCUGGCCCCGCUAACGUAUAUGCAUAAAUCGAAACACGCAAUUUCCAGUUUAAGGGAGCGUUUUCUUCCACUGACUUAUUUUUAGCACGUGUCACAUCGAAUGUUUAGAUACUAAUUAGGAGUAUUAAACGUAGAUUAUUUACAAAACCCAUUACAUAAGUUGAAUCUAAACGGCAAGACGAAUCUAUUAAACCUAAUUACGCCUAAUUAAUCCAUCAUUAGCAAAUGUUUACUGUAGCAACACAUUGUCAAAUCAUGGACUAAUUAGGCUUAAUAGAUUCGUCUCGCCGUUUAGAUUCGUCUUAUGUAAUGGGUUUUGUAAAUAGUCUACAUUUAAUACUCCUAAUUAGUAUCUAAACAUUCGAUGUGACGGGUGCUAAAAAUAAGUCAGUGGAAGAAAAUGGGAACUAAUACUCAGGCGUAGGAUGCACAUUUGGUUUCCCCGAGAAGAUUGUGCGUUGGCGCGUUGCCCGUGGACGGGUAGAUUCGUUAUUCGAUUGCUACUUGCACUGAGAUGGGAAUUUUCAAAGAGGCCAGCAUCACUUUAUUCUUUUUUUUUCCAUGUGAGAAGACAUAAGCGUAGCGUAGUACUCCAAGAAGCGAAUAAAAUCGCGCAUCCGACCAGACCAGAUCACAAACGAAGAUGGGAUCUCACAAUGCAGCCGUGCCUACUGCCUUUAGAUCCAUGCUCUAGAAACCUUCAGCCAACUGGGGCUAACCAGGAUCGUUGGGCCAGGAGAAAAAAACUCAUUGAUAGGAUGGGCCAGUGUCAGCCCACUCUCAUGGUCCAAUCACGAGCUUGCAACGAGCCGAGUAAAAUACGACAGCAAUGGGUAACACUGAAACAGCAGGGUGAAACGGUAGCACAACAGGGUGAAACUGAGAGGCAUCAGAUUUCUCAGGUCUCAUAAUUCAAGCAGCACAGGUAAAUCGACUACACAUGUCCGUCACCAAACAUGAAAUGCUGUUGAGAAUCUGAGCAUUGGUUAGAGAUCUAAUGGCCUAGCCUGGCAGAGCAGCGACAACUUCCCCUACGCGCUUCAUUAUUAUAACGAGACAUCUUGUUCUGGGCGAGAAAUUCAGUCCAAGUAAUAAUCUUCACGUUCCAAAAAACACAGUAUGGACCGUUGCCGAGAGAAAAAGAAGCAGAGAUCCUUACACCAUCAGCUGCGCAAUGUCCUUGCGGAAGACGCCCUCCAUCAGAACCUUCCUCUUCGCGGUGACUGACGGGAACGGCGAGUAGGAGAAACGCCUGCACUGGCUGCUCGCGCUGAUUCUGUUGGGCUGUGUCAUCGUGGGCAGGACAGGGAAGGACUUGGGUCGAAUGUUCAGCCGCGAGAACAGCAUUUUUCCAUUGGAGUCGUGGGGGGAAGUUUUAGAGGUGGUCUUCUGAGCUCCUGCGCUCCUACUUGUGCUUGAAAAAUGCUUGUAUUGCUCCGAGCUGCCAUUUGGUGGGCCUGGAAGACGGGGACGAAUCUCUGCUGAUGGCUUCAUGCGAUCAAGCCAGCGAAGGAUCGCGUUUCCGAGGUUCCGACCAACCUCUAUGUCCCUCUGCUGAAUGUUCUUGUGCACUGACACUGCAACAUUGAACACAUCCCGUGUGCGCCUGCAGAAUAAAGAGAAGAAGAGAAAGGAAUCAAUCCUGACAGCAUGUCACAAACUUUGAUUGGUCAUAUAAAAUGCAUCGAAAUAGAGUAAAUUUGUUGAGCUCUUUGAUUGGCAUUCCUCUCCGAAAUUCCCAUAAAGGAAUAAAAGGGGGAGAGGUGGGACUGAAUGGUGGUAUCUCUCUCAGAGCUGCUAAUCUGAAUAUGUUAGUCUCUCCCACAGAAGAUAGAAGGACUUCACCGUAUUUAAGUGCAAGGUUAAUAAAAUGGGUAUAUUGGUAUCUACAAGCCAGCAGUUUCUGACACUGCACAAGUGUAAAAAGUUCCAGAAGGUCAAUGAAGAUCAUGAUGGUACAGUUUAUCGCAGGGACAAUUAGCAUUGCAAUCAUCAACAAAAAUGCACAGAGCUUUGUAGGAUGUAGGGUCAACUGAAAAUCGCAUGCUUCAGCAUUAACCAUUUAAAGUACAGGUUCAGCUGAUUCAGUAAUAAAUAAAUAGAUGUUCAAAUGUAAUUGUGAGCAGCACACAACAAAGUCUUAGCUGUUUAAAGCAUCCUAACAUAUUGAUUGAAAAAACAAGGGGACUUGAAUGGGACAUAGUACACGAACGCUUUCAGCAAUCCCCUGCUGAAACAGGAAGUAGGUACCGUGUGCUAUGCACAGGCACAGCUGAUGAUGACUAGAACGGGAUCGAAAUGUAAUGCAACAAAUCGUGCCGCGUGUAGAGGUAUGUAAAAGUAAAGGGCGCAGCUUGAGCACUUGCACAGACAAUAACCACGCAUUGGCUCCCGCUAGCGAGGCGGGCAGCGCGGCAAUCAAUCAGCAAGCCGCGGGUCGAUCCAAUCCACCCCUCCCCGGAGCUAGAAUGCUAGUGGUAGGACUACGGAACCAACACACGCGAGGAGGCUAACCUGCAGGCCAAGGAAUCAACUAAUCCACGCCUGGGCUGUUCUAUUCCGCACCGAAUCGAGGGCACCCUCGACGCGAACCAAAACGAAACCGAUUUCCCGCGGCGUGGCGAACGGGGGAGGGGGUGGAAAAGGGGGGAAGAGAAAAACUGGUCUACCUGUAGACGAAGUCCCGGAUCCUGGGGUGGUUGGGCGGGAUGAGGCGGCGCUGGAUGCGGAGCGCGAGGCGGUAGGUGCGCCUGAGGCCGAGGAAGUAGGCGGUGAUCGCCGUGAGCUCCCACAGCACCAUCUCUGACGUCCUCGGCGCGCCUGCCCUGAUCCUCCUCCUUCGCUGGACGGGGCGGGAACGGGCGGGCCGGGGCCGCGGAGCAGCCUCACCGCCGGCGGACGGACCUAGCGGCGGGCGGGCCGGCGGCGGAGGGGGAGGGUUUUAACUUUGGUGAAGGCGGCGUGGAAUUUUGGGUAACGGGAGGGGGUGGGCUGCGAGUUGGCACCUGAGAGAGAAGGGGAGAGGAGGGGGCGGGGCGCAUCUACUUCUAGUAUCUCCUCGGCAAGACAAGGGAAAGAUGCCGUGGCGUGGCGUGUGUGCGUGCGUCUUCCAGUCUCCGUGUGCUCGUGCCUUUCUUGCAAGAGGGGUUUGUGUUGUGAUCCGAUGCGCGAUGGGUUGGGCUCUGUCCGUCCGUCCCCUCCCUCUCUGGCUCUCUCUCAUCACCCGCUACGUCAGCAGAUGUUGCCGUUGGAUUUAUUUCAAGUAUGGCUGAUACUGAUAACUUUGAAUUCACAUACAGUAAGUCUUGGCUUCGUCAAAGUUUACGAAGUUUACUUUUGGAACGGACCAGACGGGGUGAUAGAACAUAUAAGGGUGUGUUUGGUUAAAAGACAAAAUGGGACGGGAUGAUCCUGUCCUAAUUUUGUGGAAUGGGUCGGUUCCGUCUAGUAUUUGGUUGAUGGGAUGGGUUUAUUCUAUUUUUUAUUUGGUUCACAGGUUGAGAUGGGUGGGAUGGACGAAGUUUUUGACACUGUUAACAACAGUGUUUAGUGGACCCCAUUUAUCAUUUGAGGGCCCAUCUGUUAGUCCCUAACCUUUCUUUACUUUUUGUCUUUUUUUCUUCUUAUCAUCUUGUCCCCACCGCUAUCUCAACAGCCCCGGCUAAACUCCUCCUAAUCUCCCUUGACACUGCCGACCUCCUCCCCUCUCCUCACCGACUUCUCUCCCAUGACCGGCAGCCGGAGGAGCACGCAGGGCUGCCCAUGGGGGGCUCGUGCUGUGCAGCCACCCACACGGGGGGAUCUGGCACGGCCGGCCAUGGGGCUCGCGCGUCGCGUCGGCCCACAGAAAGAGCUCGCAUGACAGCCUCCAGCUCGCGCGGCUGCUCCCUAACUCCGGCUCCUCAACGCCAGCCUCCACCCCACCGGCCUCCUCAACGUCAUCCUCAUCCCCGUUGUGCUUGUACUCACUCGUUGUUUCUUGAACUAAGGUGGCGCCGUCCUUGUUGUGUGAGGUUGCAGCCGCACAGAGGUAGACGGAGAGAGACAGGGAGGGAGUGGGACGCCCCCGUCCGCUCGAUUUGGUGGGAUGGGGGUGUCCCGCAUUUGGAGAAGAAUAUUCCCCUCUAGGAUGACUCCAACCCAUUCGUCUCCAAACCAACCAUUUAUAAAGACGGGAUCGUCCUGCAUUAUCCUUGCAACCAAACAUAACUGGAUAAUUAUGGCCGACCACAAGAUACCCAACUUUUCUGCCUAGCUGGGCCGGAUUCUUGACUACCUAUUAUUUGUUGGCCCAACCAGGCUACCAGCAACCUCUCUCUCCCUCCCGCGCGGCUCUCUCCCCCCUUCUCGAAACGAUUUUCGCUCCCCCUCCCCUGUGACCGCGCUCGCCUUGUAAUUUGCUUCAUUUGUCCGCUGCGCACGACAGUUUCGUGUUCGUUUCGUAGCAGCGUAGGAAGUAGGAACCCAUGUAUCGAACACCAACAGGAUCGGAUUGCCAAUUCCCCAUUUGCUUAACCUGAUCGAUCGAUGUGACGACGAUGUCAUGUCGCGAGCGCACUACAUCCAGUCAUGUAUCCACCCAUCACCAUUACUAGCUAGCUAGGCUAGCUACUCGCUACAUGUCCGCCGCUUGCUUCUUGGCGGCAGCGGCGAGGUCCGCGGCGGCCCUGGAAGCCGCUGCUCUGGCCGCCGCCGCCCGCCCUGCGCCACCGCCCCUGGAGCGGCGCGGUCCCCGGCGCCGCAGCGCGAACCGGAGGUGGCCGCUGUCCUUGAAUCGCCUCCGCUCUGACUCCACGACGUCGCACUCCGGCGGCGCCACGGGGUAGCGCCACGUGUCGUAGCAGUAGGAGUAGACCAUGUUCUGCUCCCGGAACCGGCGCAUGGCCUGCUGCUUCUCCACGGUCAUGACGGCCAGGUCCGACGCGCGCAGGGCCGCCUCGGCGGCGGCGCAACCCCGCCGCGGCCCGCCGCCGGCCACCAUCCGGAUGGGGUCGUCGUCGGCGCGGCAGCCGAGGAGGGCGAGGUCGGUGAAGGAGGCGACGAAGGGCCCGUAGCGGUAGUUGACACGGUAGCGGCCGCCGGAGGUGGCCCAGGUGGAGGCAUCCCAGACGGUGGCGUACAGCGACAUGGGCUUGGAGGGGAAGUCGCCGCCCAUGGCGGCCGAGCGGCGAACCUCGCGGACCGGGACGUCGUCGACGUAGAAGGCGACGGCGGCGGCGGUCCACAGGAUGGAGUAGCGGUGGAACUCGGUGGUGGGGUCGAAGGGGAGCACAUAGCGCUCCUCCCGCCCGCGGCUCACGCUGCCGUUGCCGUACAGGUUGGUCUGCACGCGCCACGGCUUGCCCCGGAUGUUGCCCAGGAACUCGAAGUCCAGCUCGUCGUGGCGCUUCUCGAACACGUCGCCGUUGGACGUGUAGAAGGCGACGACGACGCCGGCGGUGUAAUCAGAGGGGAGCUUGAUGGACGCGCUGAAGAAGCCGUGCUGGUACAUGGACGACGAGAUGAAGCCAGACCCUGCGCGCGCGGUCGAUUCAUAAUUAAGAUGAUCGGCGUGCAAUCUCGACCCCAUGCGAGGAUAAGAAAUCGAUCGAGGCAAGAAGAAGCAAGCCAGCAAUUCACCGGUGGAGCGGUCGAGCAGGAGGCUGACGGUGCGGUCGUCGGCGGAGCGGAGGAUGUUGUCCUGCCCGAACAGCGGCGCGUACCCCUCCUCGAACGCCAUCGUCGUCACGUUGAUCGCCUGGAGCCCGGACACGGCCGCGGCCGCCGCCGCCAGGACGAGCAGCGCCGUCGCCGAGGCCACGGCGGCUCCGGCGGCCAUGCUGCUAAUGCUAUAGCUCGCCGCCCGGCCGCGGCGCCUCCGAUUCAGAGCCGGGGAAUAACAGGGAGGGCAAUAUCGAUCAAGAGCCGCCGGCGCGACGCCUCGCCUCGCCUCGCCCGCGAAUUAUUCGGGAUCAAUCGCCGAUUGCUUGCCUUAUUUUGAGGUGGUGAUUGAGAGCUAGAGAGAGCCGCGUCGCGCGCGCGCGCGCUAUAUAUAUGGGAAGGAGACCCCUCCAUGACCGCGCAAAGAAAAUGGAAACGACCGCGCGCCACGCAGGAUGGCGUUAUCCAUGCGUAAACAGCUGAACACCGUGGCUAAAUUUAAUCCCAAGGAAAUAAGGGAAGCUAAUCGUUCAGUUUUUUAUAAAAAAAAAACAUAGGCACAUUAUAUGCACGUACGCUUCACGCCUACGAAUGCACCUACGGCCUAUGCAUACUAUACCUCUAUAUGACUAUGAAUACCUUCGAGAGCUAAGAUAAAUCGUCGUAAGGAAUUUCCUUUUCAAUUAUACCCUUAUUUAUGAUUGUAUUAUUUAUGAUUGUAUAGGAUUUGACUCUUGGAUCCUCGAAUUAAAUUUGACUAUAUGGAAAAACUGCAUCCCUUUAAUACUAUUUUUAUCCGUUCUAGUAAUUUCUAAUAAAAGUCGUACUUCCCAUACUUAUAUAUCAUUAUUUCUAUUUGUAUUUUAAGUCCAACCUUAGUCACCAGCAAAGAAAACAUGACGCACUUAGCUCCGGCUUCUCUAAUCCUAUGGUUUCAACAAGGCAACUAAUCAUAAAUCUCGCUUCAAUCCACCUCCGGUGGCUCUGUCUCCACAUCUACAGCUUUCCGGCUUUCCCAUGAAUGCAUCCAUGUGCACUAUACCUCUUUACGUCUUUAAGAGAACCGGUUACUCAUGAGCUUAGUUGUUGAAGGUUUUUCUUUUCAGACUAUACUUCUAUUAUUAUAUAAUAUUUGACUCUUUGGAUGUUUGGGUUAAUUCCGACUAUGCAAAGAAAAUGAAAUAUAUGAUUAACUAUAUCCUUAAAGACAUAUGCUUUUCAUAAGUCUGUCCCUAGUUGUAUAUCUAAGUCUCUUUUAAGUAAUGUUUCUUGUUCAAAUCGGAAGUAUUAAGUCGAUUAUUGUUUGCCUCCAAACCACCAUCUCAAUUAUGACGUACGGUAUCGGGCAUUGUAUCUUGUUCUUGUCUAUCUUGUGGAGUUAUAAUGAAGGUGAGUCUAUUAGAUCCGGAAGGAUAAAUCCCGAUCAUUGUACUCAUUAGUAUCAUUAGUAAGCUAUAGCAUCAGCUCUAGCUCUCUUUCUUGGAUUCACAAGUAAAGGCAUUUUUAUGAUAACUGUGAGAGUGACUACCAUGACUAUUUUCAAGAGGAGAGAAAAGCUCUCGGUCUGCUCCCUAAGAUGCUAUUUUUAUCCAUUCUAGCAAUUUCUAAUAAAAGUCAUAGUUUCCGUACUUCUCCUAUAUCUGUAUUCUUAAGUCCAACCAUAGUCACCAGCCAAACACCGGGCACCCUUUUUUUUCCCACUCUUCAUUCACCUCUCCGAAUCUCUGAUCCUGUGUGGUUCCAACAGGCAACUAAUCAUAAACCCCGCUUCAAUCCAUCGGAUUAAACCCUAGCCACCGGCGGCUCCGUCUCCGCGCCUCCGGCUUCCCCAAUUCGCCAUGCCGCUCUGCCACUCCCCCACCCCCGCCGCCGUCGCCGCGGCGGCAUCUCCCAUCGCCGUGCGCAGCGGGGGCCUCCUCCGCUGCUCGCGCCCAGGCCCCGCCGUCGUGGUGAGCUCCGGUUUCCCCACCACCUCUUCCGCCGCUCGUGCCCCCCUGGUUCCCUUUUUUGUUUUGUUUCGUGCUCUAGUACUGGGGACGGGGGUAAUAAUCACCCGCGCCCCUGGCUAUCGGGGCUUACCCGUGAUCUGACGGUGGUAGUCGUCGUUGGGAGCUCGGGAAUCGCACUUGCUCGCAUCAUCUCCGUGUUUCUUUUAAUUUUUUUUGACAAGCUGUUUAAGAUUUCUAUUAUUUUGGGAGCUUGGGAUCAUGCUUUGUUGUGCUUUAGAUUCCGUUCGCAUCAUAGAGUACCCAUCUUGCAUCUGCACAAAAAAGGAAGUUGCUGCUAGUAAUCAGGUUGAAUCAGCACAGUUAUGCUCACUUCAGCUGAAACCGGUAUCCAUACGUGCAGAGAUGUAAAAAGAUUGAUUCUCUGAGGGCAAUCAAUGGAGCACCACCAUGCAUUCCAGUGUCCGACAGGUCACUGUUGACUCCUGUAACCUUGCCAGUUUUCCGGGAUCCAAGCAUGAGAAACGACACAAGGCUGCGUAUCUUCUCAGGCACAGCCAACCCUUCCCUUUCCCAGGUCAGUUGAAUCUAGCAUGAAGAAUUUUUCUCUCGUAUUUAUUCUAGUCCUGCUUUUAAUUUGUCGCAGACAACCAAUUAAACUGUACUAACCACCUUAGAGCAUCCAAUACAUCACUCAUUUGGAGUUUGGAAUAUGGGUUUUUCUGAAAUGGGAAGUUUAGGAAAAUGGAUUAAUACAAAAAGAGAAUUGAAAUGAAGGAUAACUGAACCUGUGGGCACAGCAUAGCUACUAGCCCACUUCUGAAUGAAGAAAAACAAAUAGUGGUCUGCUAUCAGCAUGCCCAUCUCUAACCAAAUGAGUUCUCUCAUUUAUGCCUAAUCUCUUUAUGGUGUCCUAUGAACAGGAGAUAGCAAGUUACUUGGGUCUAGAACUUGGGAAGAUUAACAUAAAAAGGUUCGCGGAUGGCGAAAUAUAUGUUCAGUUGCAAGAAAGUGUACGGGGCUGUGAUGUUUUCCUUGUGCAACCAACCUGUCCUCCAGCAAAUGAAAAUCUCAUGGAACUUCUGAUCAUGAUCGAUGCCUGUAGGAGAGCAUCUGCUAAGAAUAUUACUGCAGUCAUCCCUUAUUUUGGUUAUGCAAGGGCUGACAGGAAGGUAAUGUAUAUUUAUUGUAGUUUCUCAAAUUAUUUAGUUUGUUUUGAGUUUAUUCUUCUUUUUGAAUGGAAAAAAGAUCCCUGUUUGUUCUUCUUUUUGAAUGGAAAAAAGAUCCCUGUUUGUUCUUCUUUUUGAAUGGAAAAAUGAUCCCAGUUCUUCUUUUUGGAUGGAAAAAAGAUCUCUGUUUGUUCUUCUGAAUGGAAAAAAAAGAUCCCUUGUCACAUGCUUGUACCACUUCGUAUUACCAGCCUUUAACCAUGCAAGUUGCAUAAGCAAACUUUUCAACAGUUUUGCUAAUUUCCAAGUGCUUGGAAUCAUUCCAGUCACCAUCAUCGAUCAAGGUGGUUGGAUAUGACCAAGGGCCUAGGAUGGUUAUUGGAAAAUAAGAUCAUUUCAAUCACUUGGCAACUUUGAAAUCUAAUAUUUAUACUGUUCACCUGUGGAUGCUUUUCAGUAUCCAUAAAUUAGAGGAAUUGAAGUCAAUGCUCAUUGCUCAAUGAAAUUACAGAUUCUAUGAUUCCUUUUGAUUCUAACAUCCUAGCAUCUACAAAGUCAAAAGCCAUCACCAGACCUCACAAAAGCAUCUAUCUCCUUGCCAUUUUGAAUACUAACUGAAACACUUUUCAUUUUUCUCAGUCUCAAGGCCGGGAAUCUAUAGCUGCAAAGCUUGUAGCUAAUAUGAUUACAGAAGCUGGUGCUAACCGUGUACUUGUUUGUGAUCUUCAUUCCAGUCAAGCAAUGGGAUACUUCGACAUCCCAGUAGAUCAUGUUUAUGGUCAGGUAUGUACUGAAGCAUGCUGCUUAAAAUCAAUCAAUGCCUUUAAAACUUAUGUGUGAUGGCAUUCGUUCUUCUUACAAUUGUUUUCUAUUUUGCCUCUUUGAAUUGUCAAGCCUGUUAUUCUUGAUUAUCUCGCCAGCAAGACAAUAUGUUCAAAUGACUUGGUGGUUGUAUCUCCUGAUGUUGGAGGUGUUGCCAGGGCACGUGCUUUUGCCAAAAAGCUUUCAGAUGCACCUCUAGCUAUUGUAGAUAAAAGAAGGCAUGGACACAAUGUCGCUGAGGCAAGUAUUAUUGUACUAUAUUAUUUGUUUAAACAGUGUAGCAGGCUGAAUGGAUAUAUAUAGAAGAAAAUAUCAACUUCUUAACUCAAAUAUUAGGUUCUCCUUAUUAUCUGUAAUAUUAUGAACAACUGAUUAGAAUGUACUGAAGAAAAUCUUCACCGAGCCUUUUCCCUUUGUAACAUGUGCUCUGAUUACUAUGAAUCUCAAAGAAUUAUAUUGAAUUGAAGAUGUUCCUAUCUUACCACAAUUUUUUCUUAUCUCAGUCCUGUCAGAAUGAGCAAGUACAUCCUAUCUUGUGCAUUUAUUACAGGUAAUGAAUCUUAUUGGAGAUGUUAGAGGAAAAGUGGCUGUUAUGAUGGAUGAUAUGAUUGACACAGCAGGUACGUUCUCCCUUAGACACAAUUCUUAGAUUGGACAUUCCCCUCCUCAUGAGUUUAUGCCUUCUUCUUAACAACCCAGCAAGGUUGAGAGCCUUGAGAACUGCCAUGCUGUAACUAGUCAAGUAUUAGUUGUGUCAUCUGCCAUAGAAGUACAUACUGAGUGUAGAAUGGAACAUUACACACUAAUACUACACUAGUAUUGUUUCUGACUAGGUUGAAAUAUGAUUUAAGCUAUAAUUCAAACUUGAAAGCCUGGUGAAUUGUGCCGCAUUCCUGUCAAUAGCUGAGAAAAUUAUACAUCACAUUGCGUACUAAACUAAUUAUCCUCUCUGAGAUACUUUGCUUCGGGGUGUCAAUAUCCUGAUGGAAUUAUCAAACAUAAAUAGGAACUAUUGCCAAAGGAGCUGAGCUACUGCAUCAGGAAGGCGCUCGAGAAGUAUAUGCUUGCUGUACACAUGCUGUUUUUAGGUAUGCUUUAAUUCUUGAAGCUAACUUAAGUCAUAUUCUGUUUUCUCUGCUGUGUCAAUUCGUUGUAGCUAUCUGGAUUUUUCUGCAACUAUAUUUACAUGUUACCUUUUCAGCCCGCCUGCCAUUGAAAGGUUAUCAAGUGGUUUGUUUCAAGAAGUAAUCAUCACAAACACUAUCCCACUUAAGGAGGAGAAGAGUUUUCCGCAGCUGACCAUUCUUUCAGUCGCGAAUCUCUUAGGUGAAACAAUCUGGCGUGUUCACGACGAUUGCUCGGUAAGUUCUAACUUUGAACCAGCAUAAAUUAUUACCACUCUUUGGUAUGCCUGAUUCGGUGGUUGCAAUUGGUUACUCGCAUCAUUUUGCAAGCCUCAUGCCACUAUUCCUCAGAAGCAACUGCAAUUUUCUUUUCUGGUGCAACUUUUUUAUAUAAAUUGCUAAACCUAUCCAGGUUGGUCAUGAGCCAUACUCCAGCUUGGAUAUUGACUGAUCCUUAAGGUGUAUUACUCAUGCUGCACCCUUCAUGCCAAGGUGAGAAUGGCAGCAAACAGCUGUUUCUCUACAUGCUGUAUGCUAGGCAUAUUUGAUUCCAUUGUGAGCCAACAUUUCAUCAUCAGCGGUACAUUUUUCAUCUGCGGUAUGUAUGCCAUUGAACAGUUGUUUUUCCCGUGCAGGAAUAGUUGUGGCAGCUUGCAAAAUUCCCCCACUUCUUUCUUUGGACCUCAGUUUUUGUCUGUGUAAUAAGCAGCUCUAUGUUAUGUGAAAUUCUGUUAGCAAAGAACCUCAACCAUGUAUUUGAAUUACAGUAUAUAAGAUGGAAUUUUGGAUUGUAGUGCAGUUUUCAGCUAUCCUCAAUGCACGUACAUAUGGCUCCCUUCCAUCCCAAUUUUUAGUUGCUUUUGGUUUCGCUUGAUAUGCGUUUACUUCUAUUCGAUUUUAUGAUGAUGCAUCUUGUGAGGUACCAAUCAUGGUUUGAACCCUUGUUCUUACAAAAAGACUGUUUUUCCUUAUUAUUCCCUCCAUUAUAUUUUAAACGUAUCUGCAUACUAGAAAAAUUAAAACGAUUUGCAAUUUGAAAUGGAAGGAGUAGUUUGUUUCUUUGCUAUGAUGAUAUACUCCAUUCUGGUCCAAUUUGGUGCAUAGAAGCACAUGAAGUCUGUUUGGUUGCAUGACCAAAUUGAUGCAUAGAAGCACACGAAGAAGCGUGUUUGGUUGCAUUAAUAUACUGUUCUAGCUCGGUUCAGCUAGUGAAAACAUACGAUGAUAUCAUGGCUCUGAAGUGAAGCCUAAAUCAUCAAUGCAUCCCACACACGACAGGCUUGGUACAAAGUUCCUGCUUUAAAUUGUAUCUCGUUUUGACUUUUCUACGUGAUAUUAUUAUACAUCUAAAUAUAGUGUAUGUCUAUAUGCAUAAUAAUAUAUAUGAACUUAGAAAAGCUAAAACGAUCUACAAUUUGAACGGAGGGAGUACAUCCCAAAUUGUAGGUGGUGGCUUUUCUAAGUCCCUAGAUUUUUGCAAUGAAUUUAGAUAUAUACCAUGUCUAAAUACAUAACAAAAUCUAUAAAUAUAAAAAUAUCAAAAUGACUUAUAAUUUUAAAUGGAGGGAGUAGAUGACUGACAUUUGAAGAUAAAAAUUGCAUGCACCUUGGUAGGGAAAAAAAGAUAACUCCAAAGGAUAAAAAUUGCAUGCACCUUGGUAGGGAAAAAAAGAUAACUCCAAAGAUCCUUCACCAGAUAUGAGGCGGCAAGCCCCCUCCUUUGCGGAAAGAAUUAGUAUUGCCAUAAGGCUGUUUGGAAAGAACCUCAUCUAUCCACUUUGUCAACUUAACUCCCGAACAAAAUUUAGAUGCACCUUACUCACCUGAAUUAUUUUAUUUGAUCCAAUCUGCCCCUAAUUAGAUUUCUCUUUUUUCCCCUCCAUAUAUGAGUUGAAUUUUGAGUUUAAAUUUUGUGAGCGGAUACAAACAUGAUGUCUUAUGUAAAAAAAUAUACUAAAAAUUUUUCAUAGUUAUUUUCAUGGGAACGUAUCUGUGCAGUGGCCGGCGGAUGGAGAGGCUUAACUGCAAAAUAAUCCCACCACUGACUCUAUCCGUUGGAUUAGCAUCUUGUGGCCUUGAUUCAUAGUUUUCAAGGUUGCACGGGGGAGGUGGUUUGCACCAGAUACGUUCCCUAUUUCAUAGAUUAGGAAUAUUUAAUACAAAAUUGUUCUUAGAUAUAUAAAAUUGUAUGAAAAGUAAUCAGAAAAAUUUCUUAAGUAUUUUUCUAUGUGAUUAGGAAUAUUUAAUACAAAAUUGUUCUUAGAUAUAUAAAAUUGUAUGAAAAGUAAUCAGAAAAAUUUCUAAAGUAUUUUUCUAACAUAGAGCUCUAACAUAGAGCACCAAGUUAUAAGUCAAAGGGACAAAAUUUGAAAUUAAAAGUCAACUUGUACGUGAAGAAAAAAAAAAGAGAAUCUAAUUAGAGCGUAGAUUGGAUCAAAGGAAAUAGUUCGGGAGAGUAAAGUGCGCAUAAAUUUUGCUUAGAGGUUAAGCGAGGGAAGUAAAAUAGCCUGUUUCCAAACAAAACUAAGGCAAUAAUUAUUAUCUGCUCAGAGAAAUUCAACCAGACAUGUGGAUCAUCUUCCAAUACAAGCUAUUUCUUUCAACACCGAAAUGGAAAUUUUUUUUGCAUCAAUUAGUGAAGGAAUGCCUUUUGAAUCUACCAUUUGAAGCAUAACUACUGCAUUCCCUUGUCUCAGGCUUGCCUUUACUGCUAGAACCUCUAGUAUAAAGAACGAAACAUUACAUAAGCAAUGUUUAAACACCAAAAAUCUCUGAACCAAUAUCGAUCCAUGAAAAUAUAUUCUUAAAACCUGAACUGUUAAAGGACAAGAAGCUUGUUAGAAGUUUGAAAUUGGAACAUCCAAUUGAUCCUUGAAUGGCAUGCCAUCUUCUGUAUAGUUUGGACAACUGUCUACUAUAGGCUUGACCCUGAGAUGUAAAGAAUGAUCAUUCUUAUAUAAUCUACUGAUUAUAGUGAGAUUGAGUUGUUGGUACAUCAGAUAAUCUGUGGCAAAAGAUUGAACAAAACUUGAAAAUUUUGGUCACAGGGUAUAAUUUUACAGCAAAAUUGUGUAAAACUACAAUACAAAGUCAAAGGAAAUCUCCAUGGUACACCUAAACUGAUAUCCUAGAAGCAUCUUGGACACUGUCAUGAUAGGUGACAUGUGGAUUCAGGGAUAAAGUAAUGUUAAAUCUCGGAAUACAUCUCUAAAAAUAUAUAUUUGAUCUUCCAAAAGAAUGCCUGCAAAGAGCUGAAAUUAUAAAAAAGAACAAUGUCAGACAUCCAGCUAUCAAAAGAGGAUCACUGCAGCUUGUAAAACACCAGCUGAUUGACCAAUAUGAUACAAUAGUCAGUAUACCGAGAAAUCGCAUUACACUCUUCUAGUAAAGGAUAACAAAACUACAAGAAACUUAUACAAGACAUAGCUUGUAAAACAUUAAAUGUUAAGCUACCUUAAAACUUUAGUCUAUUGGAUAUCUGUAUUUAAACAAAAUGACUACAACUACUAGUAUUGUACAGCACAUGGUGAAUGCAGUGGGUGCAGCAUGAAUAACACAUGAUCUCACAAACUGCCAAUAGAAAUUCACCUUUUAUUAAACAACUUUAUGCAGGGAAGCCAUAUGCAGAUCCCAUUAAAAUGGUCAACUGGCACCAUUACCAUGACUAAUUGUCUUUCGCUGGUUUAGUGUAAUAUCCCCAAAACAAAGUACAAGGUCCUAAAGCUAUACAUCGUGUAUUCUAAGAAAAUGUAGCAGGAAAUGACAUUUGGAUAUCGCAGUUUCUCAUAUUACUUAAGAUAUAUGAAGCAUGAGAGCCUCUCAAAACUCCAGACUCUAUACAGUAGUAACUGGAACGAUAGCAAGGUUUAAUAGAAGAUUACCUCUUUCAGCUAAGUCAUAUGAUCAAGGCAGAGAGCAGAUCAGCAGUUGAAUGUGAGGUAGCAAGGGAGAUAAAUAGAUAUAAUUAUUCAUACAAAAGAAAUGAUCUUCUGAUCAUGUGCUCGCAAUGAUGCACUGUUGUAUAACCUCAUAGUGUACCAUGUGGGAUAGAACCCAUUUCGAUACAUUGCAUCCAUCCACCUCUCAGCUUCAUUUCUGUCACCAUUCUUGCAGAAACCGUGUACCAUUAUAUCAAAAGUCCAUCGAUUUGGUUGAUACCCCUUUCUGCACAUCCUUUCAUACAAAUUACAGGCAGAAUCCAUCCUACCUGCCAUAGACAACCCUCGUAACAGCAUGUUGUAAGUAUAAGUAUCAACAGGAAAAUACUUUUCCAUCUCCUCUCCCAAAUGCUCCAAGUCAUUCAUGUUGUUGAUACCUCUUGCAAACGAGGUAAUUAGAUCACCUAUCAAGAGCCUUCCUGCCUCCCGACCUUGAAUCUCUUCACCUUUCACUUCUAGAGGUUUUGACUUAUCUCUUGAACGUAACAAAGCCUUCAGAAGGCUGCUGCCCAUCAAUGUGUGCAAGAGAAGCACAUUACACAGGAAGGCUGAAACAGGGCGACCUGUUUCUCUGAAAUCGUCGAUAACCUUUAUAACACUGUCAUAAUCUCUGACAGAGCACAGCAAUAGAACAAGAUGCUCAUAGCAGCUGAUGCUUGGGAUUACACCAUUAUCCCUUGCCUCCCUCCAGAACACCAUUGCCUGCUCAGGCUUCUGAGCUUCACAUAGACCAGAUAUAAAUACAUUAUACAGCUUGGUGCCAGGUGGUUUCUUUCCACGAAUGAGGUUAAAAAAGUUAAGUGCAUCACCAAUACGUUUGCUCCUUAGAUAACUCAUGAGAAGAAGGGUGUUGCUUUCCGCUGAUGGUUCAAUCCCUGAAAUCUCCAUUCGGUUAUACACCUCCCUUGCCAUGUCAGCCCUCUUAGCAUGACCAGCCCCAGAAAUAAAGUAGUUGUAGCACACAAGGGGUUGGAGUUCACCCCGUUGCAACUGGCUGUCUAACAGCUCAAGAACUUCAGCAUACUUAUUCAAUUCACACAAAGCACAGACAACUGAUUGAUAGAGGCUUCGGGUUGGGAUGUGGCCCAUAUCUUGCAUUUCCAGCAUGAGCCUUGGCAGUAUAUCAACCCUCUUAAUCAAUAUUAAUGCCCGAAUCAAGCUCUUGUAGGUUGACUCAUAGCGAUAUAAGCCCACAUGGCUCUUGCUGCUUGCUAUCUGAGGCACUUCGCAUGCCUCCUCCACAUUACCACUCUUGCAUAGUGCCACAAGGUACUUGGCUAAGACAGAGUCCAUUGGCCAGACUUCCUGCUUGAGUGCCCUGUCUAGCAGCUCCCGCACCUUAUCCAGCUUUCCCUCCUGACAAAGCAUAUUUGCAAACAUGGCAAAUGUCUGACGCCCUGGAAAGUGCCCUCCUUCCAUAGCUUGCUCCAAUACCAGACAUGCUUCCUCUGUCUCCCCACCCCGGCACAGUGCCCUGAUCAGAUUAUUAUAGACAUCCUUGUUUGGGUUGAUCCCAAGCUCCAUUCUUGACCUAUACAAAUGCAUGGCCACUUCAACAAGACCAGCCUUGCAAAAGAAGCAAAGCGCAGCAUUCAUGGUGGAUCUGCCAGGAGCAAUGCCCUCCUCCAUCAUUUCCACGAGCAAGUCAUACACUUCGCCAAGUCUGUUACAGCGAAGCAAGCGAUAAACAAGCUUGUCAUACCGCUGCCCAUCAGGGAUAUACCCUUCAGUUUCCUUCUUAUCAGCAAUAAACUUCAACGUAGUAUCAAGCCUUCCAGCCUCAAUGAGGCCAUGGAUCCACGCACCAUACACAUCACAGGAUGCAAACUUAUCAACGAUCUGGGCUGCCUCAGCAAAACGUCGACGGCGGCAGAACUCAGUGAUGAUGGAGCCAGCAGCGGGGCCACGGGAUGCUUCAGCAAACGGCAGGGUGUCAAGGAGAGCCACGGCAUCGUCGAGGCGGGCACGGCGGCAGAGACUCUUGAUGAGGAUGCAUGUAGUGACAGGGCUGGCGGCAAGGUUGCGGGCGAAGGAGUCGGCAAGGUCGUGGAGCGAAGCAUCGACGAGGGAGUUGAGGAGGAUCCGCGAUGAGACGGCGUCGAGGUCGAGGCCGCGGAAGCGCAUGUGGCCGAGGACGCUGAGCCCGCGCUGCGGGUCGCCAGCGACGGCGUAGCCGAUGACGAGAGUGUCGUGGAAGCGCAGGUGCCCGGCGGCCGCGGUGGUGUCGGAGAAGAGGCGGAGCCAGUUGACGAGGACGGCGUUGCGGCGCGCGCGGGAGAGGAGGCGGAAGACGGCGUGGUAGACGGCUCGCGUGUGGCGGUAGCGCGGCCGGCGCCCCGACCAGUCGAAGAACUUGAGGCGGAGCAGCAGCAGCGCGUCGCCUUCGGGGAGCCUCCGCGGGGCGUGGCGGAGCACGGCGAGGACGAGCUGCUCCGAGAGCGGGAGCGCCUCGAGCGCGGCCGUCUCAUCGGACGCGAGCGCCUCGUAGAUCGCGUCGAGCGCCUUGAGCGGCGCGGCCACGGGGCCGGAGGCCUCGACGAACCAGUCGCGGAAGGAGGUGGCGAUGGCGGACGAGGCCGCGGCUACGGAGCCGGCUUCCUCGGGGCGCGGCGGAAGCAGCGGAGAGAGCUCCGGGAGCGGCGGCGGCGGCGCGCGGGGAGGAGGCGCGGAGGCGGACGCCGAGAAGGUGUUCGAGAGAAUGGCGAGGAGGGGGCGGGAGAGGAGGAGGCGGCGGCGGGAGCGGCGGGAGAGCGGGGCGAGGAGGGCACGGGGCAUGGCGAGUCGGGCCUCGCGGCGGGCUGCUGUCAGUGGCGUGGGCGUGGCCGCCGGCAGCAGUGGCGGCCGGCGGCGGCAGGUGGCAUCUGUGGGGUGGUGGUGGACGGGCGGGGCGGCGGUGUGGGUCGGCUCAGCUAGGAUGAAUUCUCUUCGGCUGCGGCAGGGGUAUACUACCUUGGUGGGUUGGGUCAUCAUAGUCAUGCUGGCGUGAUAUGGGCCGUGUGUUUGUUUGUUUGGCUCGGACUCCGGCCCUUUCUCUCUCUGUUUUUUUUACUUUUAUUUAUUUAUUACUUGAUCGAUUGAUAAUACAGUAAAACCUUUUUCACCUGGCCUAUGCUGAUGUGCACGGCGAAGAUUUAGAUGGAACAUGUGCGGCUAAACGGACCAAGGUACUCAGCUUGUAAGUAAUUUCAAAUACAUUUUGUAUUUCCUAGAUGAGGGGAAACGAUCAUUUCGCAAUCAUUUGCAUUCGGUUCCUUAGAAAAAAAAUCUUUUGCACUCGGAUCAUCUUUGCGCUCUUUUCCCCCAAUCCUGCUAACAACUUGACGUAUAGCAACACGCAAUAAAUGGGCCACGAUCAGUACAAAGAAGACACAAGCGAUGCCCCCUCUAGUGGCCAAGUUGGACACCCCUAGCUCUACCACCCCCCACUCUAUUUCCGGCAUUUGAAUCCUGCUUGACUCCUUAGGGUGAACAAUGCUAAUUUUUUUCCCCGAAAAAUAAGGAUUUGUCAGCCUCUCCCAAAUUGUUAUUUUCAGAGUAUAUUAUAUAUUAGUAUCGUCAAUUUAUCAUCCUUCAUAUGGUUGGAAAAUUAUUUGAGAAGUCAUAAGCUUGGAACUCAGGUCCAAGUGAGAGCGACGAGGCUAACAAUUUAUUUACAAUUGCCAUAUAUCAUGUAGCAGUGAUGUAGAGCUACUAGCCAGCUUGGCUUGACUAUUAGAUUGGCAAAGAGGAUGAAUGUGUGGAAGAUAAAAUCACUUGAUGAAAGCAUGGGCUUACCAUGCGUUGUUUAUAUCUUUGCGAGAUGCACGUCACUUUUUUUAAAAAAACUCGACCUGCGUAAGACAGUCCUGAGUUUUUUCAAAGAAGAAGAUCUUCUCACGUAGGUUGAGAAAACUUCCGAAUAACCCUUAUGAGACUACCACUGGGCUGGUGACCAUUGCAACUAUCCUAGGUAGGAAGGUCUAAACCAACUAUAGCUACGACUUUGGCGGACCUUGACUUGUGUUUUGGUUACGGUGACAGAGAAGAAAAGACCUGAUCGAUGGAAGAAAUAAGAAGAUAAGAGCUCUUUGGGCUGCACAACCGAUGGGCUUUGGGCUUUGCUGUGCUACUCAGCUGCAGCCGAUGAUGAGCUUUGCUGUUCUGGUUCAGCUGCAGCCGCAGCAAUAGCUUAAGCGAGCAGGACAGCGGGGGAAUCUUUGUUCACAUCGAACUCUUGUUUUGACGCAUGUUUUAACGCAUGAUGGUGGCGGCAGGCGGCGCGAAGGGAGUAGUCGUAGUAGCAGGAAUGACGGUGGCGCCGUCGGUGGCAGCAGCCACGAGCACGGGGGCCGCCUGCUCCUGCCCGCAGCCAGGAUGCGCGAGCAUCAGAGUGAGGAGCAGGGUGGCUGUUGCAGCCAGGAUGCCGCGCCGUCAUGCCUGCUACUACGACUACUCCCUUCGCGCCACCUGCCGCCACCGUCGGGCAGGAGCAGGCCUUGCUGGUGGGGGCUGCGGGGCGCCCGUUGUCUGCCUCUGCACCACCGCCACCGGCGGCUGAUGUCGCUGGCGAGCUCGCUCAGCGACGUGUUCCCACCUGCCAAAGAGCUUCGGAGAUCUCCCUAAGGUACUCGGGGACAAGGUGAUUGAGUGCAUCAAGUCAACCAUCACGAAAUGCAUCCUGCUACAAAUAGUCGCGCGCCCUACUUUGGACUCAGAAGAUACUCAUCAGUGUGCGCGCGAGAGAGAAACAAGCAGUGAAGUGACGGAUGGAGAGGGGCACGGGCCCCCCCUGACCCUCUGCAGCAUCCGCCCCUGCCCCUGGUGGCCUGGGCCUCUCCUGGCAGGCUGGCACCCCCUGGUAGCCUGUGUGCCUGUCAGCCUGUCACCAGUCACCCCUGGUGAGCUGGCCCAAUAAAAAAUUAGAAGUCCCUCUGAGGUGUCCUGGUCCUGGAAUAGUCCGCCCCAGGUAGCAGAUUGCUAAAUAGGCGCAUCAGGUCAAAUCAUAUCCCGCCCCUGGUAGCAGUUUCUUGUUCCUAGCUCGCGCCACCAGGCGAAUCGUAUUCCACCGCCGCCAAUCAAAAAAGCAAAUAGGCACAUCAGGUCAUCCAUCAUCAGGACAUGAGCACGGAGCACCAGAGUACGAGGACAAGGAUGAAUGGAUGAUGCCAAUUUCCAUGAUGGAUCCGAGCCAUGCGCAGCAGGCCAGCAGCGUCUCCGGACUGUGGUUCAUUUUUUGAGCUUGCAUGUUUUAACGCAUUUUUGAGCUGCCUUUAAGCAGCUUACAGUGAUAUUCUGUACCGAUUGUUGUCAUAGAAUGGGUCUGUGUGUUUCAGGAAAGGAAGCUGUGUAUAAAAUUGCUUCAUCCAAUGUGAUUUUUUUUAUGAUGAUUUGAUGAAGUGAAGCUAGUUCCCCAACCUCAAAUUGAAAAAAAAAGUCUAAGCCUUUCAAACUUUUCAGCCUGCAAUCUUUGACUCUAGGCUUUUGUGAUUAUUUUCAGACUGUGGGAUGUAUUGUGAUCAUGUACUGAUCUUUGGAAAUUUGGCCUGACCACCUGAGUGCCUCAUCACUAUAUUCCCACUCCUGAAUGCUACGUAGAACUUCAAGUAACUGUGCUUAUUCUAGCAUUCCCUCAAUAUUGUUGAGUUAGGUGACAGCUCACAAAUUGCUGUUCGAUUGCUUGAUCUUUCUAGCAUCAAUAGUGUAGAAAUCCCUGUUAAGCAUUGUUCUUUUUGACUGGAAAUAUGUCAGUGCCUCUAUUUUCACUAGUUAGUUCUGAACAAACAUAGUGCAGGGAGCUAUGAUUCUUGCUACGUAUUCACAAUCUGUGAGGAAACUGCACCGCAUACUUUUAUUCUGCACAUUUAGCUAUCAUUUUAUGUAAAUCUGACUAGAGCCUUGAUUACUGAUGCUUCAUCUGCCUCUUUUCUUAGGUACUACGGGCACAUGGACGUUACUGUGACGUUUUCUGCAUUUGUUAUUGCAAUAUCAUUGCUAUUACAAAGAGGAAAUCCUCGUUUUGCUCAGCUAACUAGUUCAGUUUUUGGGUUAUUUUACUGCAGCUAUCUUCCUUCUUUCUGGGUUAAGCUUCGCUCGGGACUAGCUGCCCCGGCCUUGAAUACAAGUAUGUUUCUCUGUUACGUUGCCCUUUUACUUUCUGCCCCUACAUCUUUUUGUUGUCAGUUCUCGUGCCAUUUAGUUUGCUAUUGUUGAUAAACAACAUGUGUAUCAAAUAUAUUGGACUGUGUCUAUCAAAUUUGCCUUUCAGUUGUCUUAAUUAGUUACAAGGACAAAUAAAAAAUAGUUACAAGGAUAUUUUAUUGUUAAAGUUCUUACAUGGUCAAGUGGUUCUAGUAUCUAUAUUUCUUUGCUAACUGUAGGAUCCCUGUACUAAUACAGUGUGUUCUGCCAGGAAUUGCAUACAGUUGGCCAAUUCUUCUUGGUGGACAAGCUCACUGGACAGUUGGACUUGUAGCAACCUUGAUUGCUAUUAGUAGCAUCAUUGCUGCAGACACUUCAGCUUUCCUUUGUGGAAGGGUACACUCUUUAAUUACUAUUCUUUUCUUUCUAAAUUUCUUUCUACUCUUGACUCUUGAAUUUCAUCUUAGCCUACCCAACUUGUGUGGGACUAUAGGCUUUGCUGUUGGUGGUGGUGUGUGUAUCUUGCCAUAAUAUAGUGUGUGUGCUUUACAAUGCACCAGUGUAAUAUUGGACUAAGAAGCAGAUAUAGCUGUUUUGGUUCUUUUAGCUCAUUGCUUUAAUUAUAUCAAGCAUUUCUUAUCUGUGUACCUUAAGAAAAAA